rnacentral:sRNA from 1 species
AGAAAUGUGCCUGCACUGUGGGCGUGAUGCUGUGCACUGUGGAAGGAAAAGGAGUUAAAUGAGAAAUGAUGGUGGGCGCUGAGCCUGAGCAACGCCGCUUUGUGCCGCAGCAUCAACCUGUGGGAAAUGGCGGAGUUCCUGCUGAAACAGGACGUGGUCAACGCCAUCAACCUGGAUGGGGGUGGCUCUGCCACCUUUGUGCUCAACGGGACCUUGGCCAGUUACCCGUCAGAUCACUGCCAGGACAACAUGUGGCGCUGUCCCCGCCAAGUGUCCACCGUGGUGUGUGUGCACGAACCCCGCUGCCAGCCGCCUGACUGCCACGGCCACGGGACCUGCGUGGACGGGCACUGCCAAUGCACCGGGCACUUCUGGCGGGGUCCCGGCUGUGAUGAGCUGGACUGUGGCCCCUCUAACUGCAGCCAGCACGGACUGUGCACGGAGACCGGCUGCCGCUGUGAUGCCGGAUGGACCGGGUCCAACUGCAGUGAAGAGUGUCCCCUUGGCUGGCAUGGGCCGGGCUGCCAGAGGCCUUGUAAGUGUGAGCACCAUUGUCCCUGCGACCCCAAGACUGGCAACUGCA